AUACCUUUCUCGGCCUUUUGCUAAGAUCAAAUGUAGUAUCUGUUCUUAUCUGGUUAAUGUCUGAUACGUGGGCCAUUGGCCCACAAGAUAUUAAAUUAUUUUUUCUUGGGGGAAGGCCCACCACGGUAGCUUGCAUUGGGGCGUUCAUUAGUGUUUUUGGUAAAUGAUUCAGGAGCAUUAUAGCCGUGUAACCAAUGAAUGCAGCCUUAC
rnacentral:snRNA from 1 species